rnacentral:lncRNA from 10 species
AUAUAUGGUCUUAUGGAGGAACUCAAAUGUUCAGUUCUAUGUUAUGAAGGAAUCUAUGAUAGGAAGGAAAAUUGAAUGUCCAAAAUCUGUUUUAAAUUCAUGGCCCUAAACAUGGAAGAACACUACUUCUAUCUGUAUUUGAUCAUGGAGUGUAUACUCAGAAGCCAACAGAUGAUUCAGAAUGUGCAGGAUUGUGCAGGAUCCCACAGAGAAAAUGCAAAGACACCACAAGAAUAUGUCAGUGUUACAUCUGAGACCCUUUACAGCAGCAUCUGUUGGGUUUUAUGUGUUAAGUGUACAAAUUUAACCUUCUUUUGCAAGCACUUCUUAUAGUUUAAAAAAAUUUAGAAAAUAGAUAAGACAGAACAAUUUGUAAAUGUUACAUGUGGGUUAACAGAAAUGUUAUUUUCACAUUUGAUUUCAUUUCUGAAAAUUUAAAGGGAGAAGACAGCUAAUUUUAAGAAGUAUUUGUUCAGGAAAUACCCUAUAUAAUAGUCAAAUAAUGAAAACAUUCUUGUUUAUAAUAUUUUUGCAAUAAAAAGCAAUGUAACUAUAUUACCAAUAAAAAGUAAAAUGACUACCAUUUAUCUAGCAUUUACCAUGUACUAAGUAUAAUCCAGCCCUUCGGUUAGAUCUCUCAUUGUAUCCUUACAGCAGCCUGUAUAAUUGUAAUUGAAGAAAUUAUGAUUCAGAAAGAUUCCUUGUUCUUAGUGGCCUGUUUUGGGGGCCUGGAACCAGUAUUUGAUUCUCUUGUCACUCUGACCCCAAAACUGAACAACCACCCUUAGCCCUUUGAUGUAAUUUUCCCACUUUGUACUUUUUUUUAAAAAGGCAGGAUCUCACUUUGUUGCCCAGGCUGGCCUCCAACUCCUGGGCUUCAAAUGGUCCUCCCACCUCAUCCUCCAGAGUAGCUGGGACUACAGACACAUGCCACUGUGCCCAGCCAUAUUUUUAAACAGUUGUGUAUCUUAUUUAUUUUGCCUUAAACAUUCUCUUUCAAGACUAUCAUGAAACAACAUUGCCCUAACAUUCUCAUAUGAAAUUUUCCAUGUUGCUGAUAUCAGUUUGAUGUUUCAUUAUUUGACCACCUCCUUAGUGUCAAAUAUUAAGGUUCUUCCCCUCACCUCAGUGUUAGGAAUACACCUAUGUGAAUUUUCCACGUUUAUUAUAGUUUUGGAAUAAUUUAGGAGGUCAUAUUUUUAUGACUUUUGAUACAUGUGCAAGGAGCUGCUACCAGUAUUAGAAUUUCCUUUAACACAUUGAGGGAUAUAAAAUAUACAUACAUAUAUAAUAUACGUAUACAAAAUAUUCAUACAUAUAUAAUAUAUAUACAAAAUAUACAUACAUAUAAUAUACGUAUACAAAAUAUACAUACAUAUAUACAUAUACAAAAUAUACAUACAUAUAAUAUACGUAUACAAAAUAUACAUACAUAAUAUACGUAUACAAAAUAUACAUACAUAAUAUACGUAUACAAAAUAUACAUACAUAAUAUACGUAUACAAAAUAUACAUACAUAAUAUACGUAUACAAAAUAUACAUACAUAAUAUACGUAUACAAAAUAUACAUACAUAAUAUACGUAUAUAAAAUAUACAUACAUAAUAUAUGUAUAUAAAAUAUACAUAUAAAAUCUUAUUGCUUGCUAAUUAAUAAAAUGUUUUUCUGUUUGUUAAACAGUUAUAACUGUGAAUUAAUUAUCUGUUGAUGUCCUUUGUAUAUUUACUUAUCAGGGCCUUAUUUUUCUCCUUCAUGUGUAUGCCCUCUUGCAUAAUAAAGAUAUGAAUCUCCAUCUGUC